rnacentral:lncRNA from 1 species
AUUCAUUCAUAACAAUUUACAAUUUUAAAUGUCAAAAUAUCAGUUUAGGUUUUCACAUGAUGAGUGAGUUGUUAUUUCUAUCAUUAUAUUCCAAAGGGUGGUAUUUGGUACAAAAGUAAAUUAUUAUAAUUACAAGUCCCCCUAGAUUUAAUAAUGACGGGAGAUUUGUGUACCCUUUUGCUGAAUGAAAUUUUGUUAAUGUCUUGUGAUAAUAGUUUUCUAGGUACAUUUAUCCUACCACCAGUCAAAACCACUAAUAGUAGCUUACAGUGAAUACAACUCUGUUCAGAAAAAUAUAAUUGUUAAGCCAAACAAAUGUCAGACAAAAAUGAGACUACUAUAACAUGUAGUAGUCGCAUAGGAAGGAAAUAAAGGAAUAAAAACGAACAAUACAGGAUAGAGAAAAACAAAUGAUAGAGCACUAACUAAAAUAAAAACUUGUGUGAACUGCUUAACUCUAGAAGGGUAAUCCUCAAUCCAGUGGCAAAUAUUUCAUGCAUGUUGAGGAAUAUUCAUGAAUACAAGGACAAUUACUAUCAAUAUAAAACUUUAUUUUACCUGUUUCUUAACUUUCACUAUUAGAAUCCAAAUUUCUCUGAUUAAGUUUCUUUCUAGUUGUCAGAUGGUUUUGUUGUGUUUUAUUGGGAGUUUUCAGGGGAUGGGGGGGGGAGAUUUUAACUGGUACAGAGCAUAGAUUCCUUUUCUAAAACAGUUGAUGGAACUGGGAGUAGAGACUCUUGAUAAACUGAUUGUAGAAUUUGUUUAUUUGUUUUAUGUAACUUGUAUUUUGUUUGUCACAAGCUGUAUUUAACUUUAUUUUAAUGUUGAUUGAAACUUAUUGCUGAAAAGUAAUAAAGUGAGAAGAAAAAAACAACUUUAUUGUAGUAGAGUACUUAUGUGAAGAAUUUUAUUUUUGAUUGACUUUAGGCUUCUAUUGUAGUAACGUCAUGUUUUGUUAUUUUUUAGGACCUAAAGACAGGGAUUCCAACAGAGUAACGUGAGGAGAAGAUUUAAUUAAGUAACGUACGUUACAUCUAAGUCGAAGAAAUAAUCGGACAGAGUCAUAACUUCAGGGAUACCUGCUGUAAUGGGACAAAGAACAAGACUUAAUCUAAACUAGGGAUCAGAUUAAUAGAUGUGGGUUAAGUAUGGUAGAAGUCUUGAGGCAUCGUAAAUAUUUGAUUGUAAUAUGUUUGUUGACAAUUUUUCUACGUAUUAUGAAAUCUUACUACAAUGAAACACGACAGAAAGAGUCAAGAUCUUUGUUUAAGAGGGGGAUUAAUGUUUUAAUCUCGCGUCUAUGUGUAUUCUAAUGUUAAGAAAUCAUGAGAUUAGAGACAGACUUAAAAGUUAAAUGACACUAUGGCCUUUGUUAUUAAUAAACGAAUAACCUUUCCAUCUAUUAUUUCUGUUUUGCCUUUAGCAUUAGUAUACUACUAUUAUUUUGUCUGACAGAUUUUUAGGUUAAUAGCGCAUAGUUUGUUU